AUAAAACCGAACGGCCCCCAGACAGUCGCUUCAGUCAACGUCUUGGUGUCGAAGUUUGGACACGUCCUUUUCAGAAGACUUCGAGGAAUUGCGUUUGUGUUUUUUUUUUGGUAGAGUGGCUGUUAUUUCGCUGUCCUAUCUACGUAAGAUUGUUUUGGACGGGUCUCCUGCUGCCUUCAGAUGCGUCUCUUGGCUCUGUUCGUGGCACUCCUCUCCCUUGUGUGUGCCACGAGUGCCUUUUUUCCUCUCCCACGUGGUAAUGGAUUUCAUGUUCGCCAGAACUCCAGAAGAGGUCGUCCGAUAAGUGGAGGGCGACCGCGACCCUACGUCUUCGAUGACUUUAUCAGAGGAAAGUAAGAGGAAAGGCACAGAGUUAGAGCCAUGUAUAAAUCCCUUUCACCAUCCGCUGGGUUGAACCUUGUCCCGUUUAUUUCUUUUUUCUUUUGGUUGAUUGUUUGUACGUUUUGUAUUUUGCGAUGUGAAUAAAUGAUUUACGAUUAAA